CCUACGGGGGGCAGCAGUGGGGAAUAUUGGACAAUGGGCGAAAGCCUGAUCCAGCCAUGCCGCGUGAGUGAUGAAGGCCUUAGGGUUGUAAAGCUCUUUUGUGAGGGAAGACGUACCUCAAGAAUAAGCACCGGCUAACUUCGUGCCAGCAGCCGCGGUAAUACGAAGGGUGCUAGCGUUGUUCGGAAUUACUGGGCGUAAAGCGUGCGCAGGCGGCUUAACAAGUCAGAGGUGAAAUGCCAGGGCUCAACCCUGGAACUGCCUUUGAAACUGUUAGGCUAGAGACUCGGAGGGGUUAGGGGAAUUCCUAAUGUAGCAGUGAAAUGCGUAGAUAUUAGGAGGAACACCAGUGGCGAAGGCGCCUAACUGGACGAGACUGACGCUCAUGCACGAAAGCGUGGGGAUCAAACAGGAUUAGAUACCCUUGUAGUC
rnacentral:rRNA from 1 species